UACAGAGGUCUCAAGCGUUGUUCGGAAUCAUUUGGGCGUAAAGGGCGCGUAGGUGGUUCUGUAUGUCUACCGUGAAAGCGUACGGCUCAACCGUAUUUUGUCGGUAGAAACUGCAGGACUUGAGGCUGGGAGGGGCUGGUGGAAUUCCCUGUGUAGCGGUGAAAUGCGUAGAGAUGGGGGAGAACACUCGUGGCGAAGGCGGCCAGCUAGACCGUAGUUCUGAGCACUGAGCGCGACGAGCAGUGGGGAGCAAACAGAUUCA
rnacentral:rRNA from 1 species